AGAGGGUUGGAGUUUGUUGGCUGUGCUGUGAAGAAGAAAGAGUAGUGCUGUGAGGAGUUGCCCAUGAGAAAUCACUGAGAAGGCAGAACCACCCUCAACUUCCCAGCGGAGCAUCAGGCUGAGCAGUCACUGAACCCUGCCAGCUGCCAGAGCAGUGGGAGGAGGAGGAGGAGCCCCUGACUCUUCCUCAGCUGUCUGACAUCUGUAAAGAGCUGCUUCUCCAUCUCCAGCAGGAGCUGGGCUGCUGUGCUUUGCUGCACCUGGUGUCAAGGAACAGAAGAGGAUGAUAAAGUAUUGCUGCUAGCAAGAAUCCAGAAAGUGCCACAGUUCAACAAGUGUUGAACGUCCCUGGAAGGGAGAGCCAGAGUUUGUCCUUUGAAGCAGCAUGGCCAGGAACCCUUUGGGCAGGAUAAACCCAGGACAGGGGGAAGGCCAGCCAGCAGAAAUGCCAUGAGCCCUUUCCCAAAGUGCCUGUGUGCUGCACACUGGAGCACCUGUGCAAAACACAUCUCCAGAGGUAAGGGUGAGGUAAAGAGCAUCACUGCUGCCUGUUUAGAUCAGACACCAUCCAAGGGGGCUUCCUCACCAGGGCUAUUCCCACUCUAAAAGCUGGGAGUUUAUUGCACAUGGUGGAGUGAAUUACAAAGAGAAAUAUAUGCUUCCAUGCUUCACUGACUGAAUCAGAGCCUCAGUACCUGGAUAUGCAGUAAAAGCUGACUAUUUCUUGCCUUUUCUGUAUCUACUUCUGGAUCCAGUGUGUUAACACCCGUAAUUAACUACAGGAAAUUAAAAGAAGGAUCACACCCCUAGGAAGAAAAUAUUUCUCCUCCUUACUCUGUGCUAAGGCUUCCCUGGCAAGGAAUUCUGUUUUUCUGCUGUUCUGGCAGAUUGUUUGACACUGAGCAACUGCAUUAGCACUUCUGGAACAAGGAAUGAGAGCUGAGAGUGUAAAAAAGCAUUGUGGAAGCCUUCCUGCUUGAGACAUUUAAAAAUUAAAUGACUGAAGCUUUUAGAAAUUUAGUGUAAUAGACUGAUGCCUAACUAACAGGGAAAUAAAGCAGAUCGCCUAAGAGAAUGUUUAAGUUUCAGUUUUGCCAUGCCCUUCUGCUGGCUUGGGAGUUUGGCUGAGCUCUUCCCAGGUAAAUGACUCUGUUCCUGAUUCUAAGCAGGCUCCAGGCAGGAAGAAGAGGCAAGAAAAAGGUCUUAGAGAGCACAAGUCUCUGGAGGAAUGAGCUCAGCUGGUUGCUGGGCUGAAGUGGCCAGCAAGAGCAGCUUUCCAACCACCGAAUGGUGCAGCUGAGCUUUGGGCCAGAAGAGACCAGGCCUGUCCAGGCUGGCAGAAACGGAACCCUCUCCCUGUCCCCAGUCUUCUUAGCAUAGGAGGGAAGGUAAACCAGGAAAAUAUCUGCAUAAUGCCACAGUGCAAGAGGAAUCAGUCCCCUGAGAGCCUCUGGGAACAGGUCCAGCCCAGGUCUGUGGGCGCCAAGGGCCAGGCCGCAGCUGCUCAGGAGCUGGGAAGGUCAAACCUCUGCUGGGGAAACCUCCAGGCCCAUUAACAUUUUCAAUUAACAUAAAUCUCCAUGUUUCCAAACAAUUUUCUAGGAAUUCUAAUAUAACCACAUAUUUAGACCCUGGACGUUGCUCACAAAAGCCAUAUUUUGAAGAGUGACAAGUAAAGCUUCACCCUGCUUUUAGCCCCAUCUGCUGUGUCUUGCCUUGUCUUGUCUGUGCUUCUGAGCCAACAAUGAGGGAACUUUCUUUCCUGCUCAGGCAGAUGUUUACCUUUCAGCACCUGAGAUGACCUUUUGACUUGGGCCUGAAAUUCUGGCCUUGCUGAAAUGGGUGGAAGUUUUGGCACUGAUUUUGACAGAGGCAGUAUUUCAUUCCAGGUGCUUUGCUCAAUAAAGCAUAUAAAAUUACAAAACAUGGGCCUUCCCUCUUGCUCAACUUCUCAGUCAUCCCAGGUAUCACUGAGUGAUAAACACAAAAACCUGGAGGAAACAAAAUGGCAUCUCAAAAAAGGCUCCUACAUGAAUAAUUAAAAUACCUUUCAAUAUAUAUAAUAGGUACACCUAUACACACAAGCACACACAUAUAGAAGAUGUCAAUGGGAUCAAAGCUUUUCUCCAGCACUUUAAUAGGUGGCAUGCACCCUCACUUAUCUGCUAAAAUCAAAACCUGUGCGUGCACGUGCAGGUGCUGGGAGUUGCUUUUUCAUAUUGUUGGCAUAGGGCCACAUAGUAGAGCCAUGCACCUUCAUUUUUUAACAAGCCUGUGUUUUCUCAGGUGUUCAUUUAUCUCUGUGAAGAAGUUUCUCAGACCUGUAACCUCAUGUUUAGCACGCUAAUAGGAAGAGGUGCUCCUGCUGCCAAUAAACAGGCCUUACUCUGUCUUACAUCCAAGAAUAUAAAACCAGGGGGUUUUCUUUUUAUAAAUUUUUUUUUCCAAAUAUAGGAAAUGUGAUCAUG